rnacentral:rRNA from 1 species
UGGGGAAUCUUGGACAAUGGGCGCAAGCCUGAUCCAGCCAUGCCGCGUGAGUGACGAAGGUCUUCGGAUUGUAAAGCUCUUUUUGGCGGGGACGAUAAUGACGGUACCCGCAGAAUAAGCCCCGGCUAACUUCGUGCCAGCAGCCGCGGUAAUACGAAGGGGGCUAGCGUUGUUCGGAAUUACUGGGCGUAAAGCGCACGUAGGCGGAUCAGCAAGUCAGGGGUGAAAUCCCGGGGCUCAACCUCGGAACUGCCUCUGAUACUGCUAGUCUAGAGUCCGGAAGAGGUGGGUGGAAUUCCUAGUGUAGAGGUGAAAUUCGCAGAUAUUAGGAAGAACACCGGUGGCGAAGGCGGCCCACUGGUCCGGUACUGACGCUGAGGUGCGAAAGCGUGGGGAGCAAACAGGAUUAGAUACCCCUGUAGUCCCUGAGCGGGCUGGCAAGGCGCAU